AAUUUAAUGUAAUCAUAAAUUCUUUUUUCUUUUUUUAAUCUCUUCACCUGCAGGAGAAGGCAGAGUAGUGGGCGGCAAUUAUCUCACGAGGACAUCCUGACCACGCGUCCCUGUGAGUUUUAUGCAGUCAUGCUUUGCUGGUUCCUCAAAAGCAGAGUGUUACCUGCGCACGCCAGCUUUUCCCCAGCACCUCGUCUCUCCUCCAUUCCGCUCUCUCCUGUGAUUUGUUGUCCUGUGAGUAUGUGUGUAUUUAGUUUGCUGAUUGACCUUUUUUGCUUUCAUACCUGAGGGGUGGCCAGUCCUUCCAGAGACCCAACAAUUUAUAAACAAGCAAUUAAAAAGUCAAUUU